CCUACGGGUGGCUGCAGUGAGGAAUAUUGGUCAAUGGACGCAAGUCUGAACCAGCCAUGUCGCGUGCAGGAUGACGGCUCUAUGGGUUGUAAACUGCUUUUGUAAGAGGGUAAACCCCGAUACGUGUAUCGGGUUGCAUGUAUCGUACGAAUAAGGAUCGGCUAACUCCGUGCCAGCAGCCGCGGUAAUACGGAGGAUCCGAGCGUUAUCCGGAUUUAUUGGGUUUAAAGGGUGCGUAGGCGGUUUGAUAAGUUAGAGGUGAAAUGUCGGGGCGCAACCCUGAAACUGCCUCUAAUACUGUAGGACUAGAGAACAGUCGCGGUAGGCGGAAUGUAUGGUGUAGCGGUGAAAUGCUUAGAGAUCAUACAGAACACCGAUAGCGAAGGCAGCUUACCAAACUAUAUCUGACGUUGAGGCACGAAAGCGUGGGUAGCAAACAGGAUUAGAUACCCUAGUAGUC
rnacentral:rRNA from 1 species